AACUGGCUGUGCAACUUUUUGUGAAAAGUUCACUUGGUGAGGCGGGAGAGAUUCUUUGAUCUUGUAGGUCAGGGUGCUGGAAGCUUCAGGCUCCUAAGUUUAUUUUGUGGUCAGGUUGCCAGGUUGCUGAAGAAAGACCUAUGGUUAGGGUGUGAUUCUCUGCCCUGCACUCUGCGUCACUCAGCUUUCAUGGGGGAGGGGGCCAGUGGUUGCGGUUUUCUGAAAGCAUCCAAAGUAGCCCCCUGCCAAGAGUUCUUAGGCCCUAGCAACUCUCAGAGAAAAUUCUGAGAAAUGCUGUGGUGAAAGGCACUUCCUUCCUUUAAACCAGAGUGCUUUGUCAGGGGAGCUGAGCUCUGCACGAUGUGAGAAGGGCUGGUAAGCUGCUCCUAGUGAAAAUCAAACAGGUAUUUGACCGUGCAGUGUAAGUCACCCAGUUGGGACUGGAGGUUGCUGGGCAACCUGCCCAGAACCAGGGUUUGGCUUACCAUUAGUCAAGUCUUGGAGAUUUCCACUGGAUCCUCUGAUUCCAGGAGGAUGAAUAUGGUUCACUGGGAGGCCUGGCCCCUUGACAGCGAGUUCCAGUGAGGACUGAAAAUGGCUUCCACUGCCAAUUUUCCCAAGGCCUCCUGGGAACCGAGGGCCUGGCACGAGCACCGAGAGCAACUGCAAACCAGGUGGACCACGGAUUUCCCAGCCUCUGUGUCCAGCACCAGCAUUCCUAAAAGCUGAUGACAGUUCGCACGCUUCCUCAGGAGUGAACCAGCAUCUCACCCUUCCAAGUCCUGUCCCCCACUCCCUCCCUAGGAGGCAGCCUUGGCCUCUGGGCCUCCUGGGCCUUCCAGAACCUUCUACCCAUGAGUGACCAGGACCUGCUGGACUUCCUGGAUCAUAUAAUUCUGUGGGGUCAAGGGAACCCUCCCCCAUCAAAGAGUCCUCGGAAAAUCUUUAAUGGGAUUGUGUUUUUGUCUGCCUUUCUUUGGGUUCAGCGCAGAGAAAUACCAGCUCCUUGGCACCAGAGAUGUGUGGACUUCUGCAAGUUUUGAGGUGAAUAACUUUAUUCAAGGAUAACCGUUGCGCAUUCCCUGGAAGCUGCAAGGUCUUAUGAUUACCCAUGUAAUUUCCUGGCACAGUUGGUGAUGCCUGAGUCAUCCCAGGAAGCAUCCCGGGUGUCUAUUCCCAAAUGCUUACAUUUGUGUCUCGAGUUCUGAGCUGCUCCUUCAGCUGUGAUUCUCAUUAUAAAACAAUAACCCUCAA